rnacentral:lncRNA from 12 species
AUAAAAUAUGGCAAUGGUGCCUAUUAAUCUCCUUGAAGUUUCCACAGGGAUAGGCACAGCCAGAAGCCUUCAUUUCUAUGGAAACUAUGAAAGGCAGUUUGGACAAAGACUGGCUACAUUCUGAGAAGACUGAGUUCCAAAGCUGGUCAGUUGAAAGGCACGUUUAGAGCUCAGGAGAUGAAGUCUUGGGUUACCCAGCCCUGGCAAAAGUAUCUUGCAGCCUAGGGGGCUGGGAGGAUGCCUGGAUGUCCCACCUGUUUAGGCCACAGGGAUUCCAAAGAAAUCCAGCAAGGCUUGUGCAGGUGGCAAAAGGCAAAAACACAGAUAUAGCUAGUGUCGAAAGUAUCCUUGCCCUUACUUCCUGGAAGAAAACUCUGGGACUACAGGAGCCAGCUGACUUCCAUGCCCCACAGUGCCUCAUGCUUGCAAAAAGGCUGCUGUGGAUCCAGAUACCAUAUUUAUAUAAAAGCCCAUUUUGUACUCCUUUUUUCUGCACUGGAGAAGCAGCUACUGGAAGCAGGGUUAGAACAAGCUUGACCACAGGAUUGCAAAGAAUCACUGAAGUGGUGUUUGCAUUAGUCCCAAGUGCUGGCCACCUCAUCUCAACUCUCCCUAGAGGAAGAGACCCUGUAAGUCCCAAGGACACAUCCGGAAGAGUAUUGUGGAGAGUGAGAUACGCAGCAGCAGACUAGGUUUGAAUGGCACAGUGAGACACUGGCAAUGGGGAAACUGUGUUGAAGAGAGAAGAAUCUAGCAGCCUGAGAAGAAAAAUAAGUAAGAGACUAAAGACAGUUGUUCUUUGUGACAUACCUUUCUCCCCUCUGAUUUUCAGAGGAUCUCUUUCCCACAGGGCUCUGAUGCUUUUCUAUCUCUCUCCACCUACUUGGUCUCUUCAAUACCUGACAGACUUCACACUCAUUUCCUUUGUUAUGAUUAGACCGAAAAAGUGAGGUGAUGAAAGGCCCCAGAAUUAACACACUGAAAUCUCACAGAAAUCACCAGAAGCUAAAGAUGAUUCCGUGAAAGUCUGAGAAUGAGAGAGAAAAUUGAAGGGUGAGGGAAGGUGGAGCAGAAAAGGAGGGGAGAAAGGAGAGGAAGGUGAGGAGAGAGGACAGGGAACAGAAAAUGAGAGGUUAUUUUAAACUCAACGUGGGGAAGAAUAGGUGAGGAUGGAAUAAAGGGAGGGAAGGAAGAAGGAGAAGCA